AACGCACGAGACCUGCGGACCUGCGGAGGGAUCAUUAAUGAGAAACUGCCCCUCGCGAGUAGAUCUCCCACCCUUUGUAAACUUACCUUUGUUGCUUUGGCAGGCCCGUCUCCGGACCGCCGGCUUCGGCUGGCCAGUGCCUGCCAGAGGAUUCUAAAACUCUGUCUGUCAGUGUUGUCUGAGUCUAUAUACAAUCGUUAAAACUUUUAACAAUGGAUCUCUAGAUCGGAAGAGCACACG
rnacentral:misc_RNA from 1 species